rnacentral:SRP_RNA from 1 species
GCCAGGCGUGGUGGCUCAUGCCUGUAAUCCCAGCACUUUGGGAGGCAGAGGCAGGUGGAUCACCUGAGGUCAGGAGUUCGAGACCAGCCUGGCCAACAUGGUGAAACCCUGUCUCUA